rnacentral:rRNA from 1 species
UACGGAGGGUGCUAACGUUGUCCGGAUUUACUGGCGUAAGCGCAUGUAGGUGGUUGGCAAGUCAAUGAUUAAGACAACGCUCAACGUUGGACCGUUGUUGAAACUGCCUGACUAGAGGUAGCAGGGUAAGCGGAACUUGAGUGUAGGAGUGAAUCCGAUAGAUAUUCAAAGGAACACCAAUGGACGAAGGCAGCUUACUGGCUAUUCUGACACUGAGAUGCGAAAGCGUGGGAGCAACGGG